rnacentral:lncRNA from 1 species
UACAAUCAGCACCUUAGCAAAAAAGCUCCAACAUCAAAUAUGAACAUUCUUGUUUGAAAGCUUACAAAAUGUCAAGAAUUCCAUACCAACAUCAAAAAGCUCUAACGUCAGAUAUGAACAUAUAGACAGAACGUUAGAAAUUCCAACAAGCUUCCAACGUCUAAAUCAAUUCCAGCAAGAAUUAUUAGCACCUUAGCAACGUAAAAUUUUGCGGUUCUAAAGGAGUACGAUGCAACAUUUUCUAAGAAUAUCAUACGGUUUUUUCCCUACUCCAGGUAUGUUAAGACUAUCCCUUCUUUCUUUUGACAUGGUCCAAAUUUUACUGAUGAAACGAGCAAAUACACAUUUUCUAUAAAUUGAUCUAUUCAUAGAAAUAGUAGGGGUGUCAAUAUUCUUGAUUCCCCUAUUCAUGGGUAUUAGAAUAAUACGCAGUUGGAAAAGUUUAUCUGAAAAGAAUAUCGAGGUUAUUAUGUAUUUUUCAUGCAUUUAACUCAUUUAUACAUAUGCAUUGACCCAUGACCAGAUGGCGUUAUAUAUGCGUAUAUAUGUAAAUAUAUGUAUAUGGGAUAUGGGAAAAGGUUACGGCGUUAUAUAUGCACCACCACUUGCUCAGCUGGUAUAUGUUGAUGAUGUUGCCCACAGUGGUUGAAAUAUGAUUCAAACGGCGUUAUAUAUGCGUAUAUAUGUAUGCAUAUAUAUGUAUAUGGGAUAUUGGAAAGGUUAUGGCGUUAUAUACGCAACACUACCUGAUCAGCUGAUAUACGAUGAUGAUUUUGCCCACAGUGGCUGAUAUGAUAUGAUAGGAUGCCCUCAGAGGCUGAUGAUGUUAUGAAACAUGUACCUAUGCACGACAUGACAUUCAUACGCAUAUGCAUGACGCUAAAAGUAAUUUAUGAUUUAUAAAGUUAUUCAGACUUACAGGUUGAGUCAUGUACUUUAUAUUUCUUCCAUGUCUCUUAUGUACUUAUUUAUGUGCCUUACAUACUCGGUACAUAAUCGUACUGAUAUCCUUUUGCCUGAGGACGCUACGUUUCAUGCCCACAGGUUCCGAUAGAUAGGUCGAGAGCCCUCCAAGUAGGCUAUCAGCUCAGCGGAAGAUGUUGUUGCACUCCAUUUGCUUCGGAGUUGCUUGUUUGGUUAGUAUGAUUCAGACGUGUAUUAUUUGGUAUAGCGGGACUCUAUCCCAACUUUUAUGACAUUUAUGUAAUCUUAGAGGCUUAUAGACAUAUGUCGUAUACGUGAAAGAUUGUACGGCCUUGUCAGCCUAUGUUUUGAGUUUAUAAAUGAUUAUGUCGGCCUGUUAGGCCUGUAUGUCAAGUUUAUAUUAUGAUGUAAUAAGAAAGAUACAUUACAUUGGUACGCGGUCGAGUAAGGUACUGGGUGCCCGUCGCGGCCCAUUGGUUUGGGUCGUGAUAGUUGCACCCAGCAGUAUUACAUUAUGGUGAUGUUACGCUUCGCAGUAUUAAGUUACGACAGUGUUGUACCCAGUAGUAUUAUAUUACGGUGAUGUUAUACUUUGCAGUAUUAAAUUACGACGAUGUUUCACCCUGUAGUAUUGUACGUUGGAUUUGUCGUAAGGUAAUUGAC